AGGUUGAUCCUCCAGAUGGUGUUUCCUACGCCUCCAUCCGCUACAAGAAGAAGACCAACAGUAAAGGACGGGUUCAUCAUGAAGACCACAGAGAUGACACAGUGACCUACAGCACUCUCAACAUUUUCUCCACCUCUGCUGGAGCCUCCGCUGAUCCCAGGAACCUCUACGCCACCGUCAACAAGACCAACAUGUAGGAGCCCACAGUGUAGUUACAUCUCUAGUCAAUACAGAGAUUAUACAUCGAUAAACGAUCAGUUCAAGCUUCGGAUUUCUUCUUAAUAAUGUUGCAUCUCAAACCUUGUAAAAUGUAUUUUAGCUUAAUAAUCAGCUAUUCACAAUGUUUACUGCUUGAAACAUGAAGAGGAACUCCGACAUUUAAGUUACUUUCUGUUGUACUGCUGUAAAUUUUACUUUGUUUUCCUUUAUAUGAAUGCAUUUAUGAAUAUUUUGUUAAUUGCUGUAAAGUCUUGUUUCCUAGAAGGAGGUGUCGUAGAUUCAACGUAUCAAACUCUUGAAAGUAAAUUCAUGUGACAGCUUACUUCUUCUUAUCAUUACCUUUAGCUUAAACACACCUCUGUUAUUGUUUGUGAUGAAUUAAGUUCUUGAUGAGGUACACAAGUGUGUAAACUCUGCAGAAGCGUGAUGUCACUUCCUUGUAGUUGGUUGUUCCCUCGAGAGUCAUUUAUUCAGCAGUUAAAAAGGGAACUGAUGAUUUAUCGUACAGUUUUCAUUCUGCUUUCAGAUGCAUUUAGAAAUCAUUUAUGUUUGGAGCAGUUUGUGUAAGAGAAUGAGUGUUGUAAAUGAAAUGAAAUCAAUAAAGAUAAAUCAGUACUCUGCAUGCUGGUGUUUUAGUUUUAAA